GGUGUGACUUGGGUGCCACUCACUCGCCCAGGAUGCAGGGUUGUUGCUAAUAGAAUCUUGUUCACAGAACUGAGCUGAAAGGGGAGGAGAAGCCCUGGGAGCCAGGCUUGUGCGGAGGGUAAAUCCAGAGGCCCCCAAGAGGCCGUCGGGGGUCCAACCUCUGCAUGAGACGUGGCGGCAGGUAAGGUGUUUCCAGAGCCAGAAACUGGAAAGCUCUCCAGAAAAUAUACAGAGGGACUCCGUGUGGGGAACUGGAACCAUUGGGAGAUGGCAUCCAAGCGGCUGGAGCCGGUGACCGUCAUUAGCCUUCGGGAACUGAGCCAGGGGGGCCCCGCACCACAGCCAAAAGAGACAAAGACCUUCACUGUGGAAGAUGCCGUGGAGACCAUCGGAUUUGGACGUUUCCACAUUGCACUGUUUCUGAUCAUGGGCAGCACGGGGGUUGCCGAGGCCAUGGAGAUCAUGUUAAUAGCGGUUGUGUCUCCCGUCAUCCGCUGUGAAUGGCAGCUGGAGAACUGGCAGGUGGCAUUAGUGACCACAAUGGUGUUUUUCGGCUACAUGGUAUUCAGCAUCUUCUUUGGUCUCUUGGCUGACAGAUACGGCCGCUGGAAGAUUUUGUUCAUCUCGUUCCUGUGGGGCGCCUACUUCUCCUUGCUGACCUCUUUCUCGCCCUCGUACAUCUGGUUCGUCUUCCUGCGGACAAUGGUGGGCUGUGGCGUGUCUGGCCAUGCACAGGGGCUCAUCAUAAAGACGGAAUUUUUGCCUACAAAAUAUCGAGGCUAUAUGCUCCCCUUGUCUCAGGUGUUCUGGCUGGCGGGCUCCCUGCUCAUCAUCGGCCUCGCCUCGGUGGUCAUCCCCACCAUCGGGUGGCGCUGGCUCAUCCGCAUCGCCUCCAUCCCCGGCAUCGUCCUCAUCAUGGCCUUCAAGUUUAUUCCUGAAUCUGCUCGGUUCAAUGUCUCCACCGGGAACACUCAGGCUGCCCUGGCCACGCUGGAGCGCAUCGCCAAGAUGAACCGCUCAGUCAUGCCCGAGGGGAAGCUGGUGGAGCCCAUCCUGGAAAAAAGAGGAAGAUUUGCAGACCUGUUGGAUGCUAAAUAUUUACGGACCACAUUGCAGAUCUGGGUCAUAUGGCUGGGCAUCUCAUUCGCCUACUACGGCGUCAUCCUGGCCAGUGCUGAGCUGCUAGAGCGGGACCUGGUCUGUGGCUCAAGGUCCGAGUCUGAGGUGGUGGUGACCGAGGGCGUCUCGGAGGAGAGCCAGAGCCCCUGCCACUGCCACAUGUUUGCCCCCUCCGACUACCAAACCAUGAUCAUCAGCACCAUUGGCGAAAUUGCUCUGAAUCCUUUAAAUAUCCUGGGCAUUAAUUUCCUGGGAAGACGGCUGAGCCUUUCCAUUACCAUGGGAUGUACAGCUUUAUUCUUCCUUCUCCUCAAUAUUUGCACUUCAAGUGCCGGCCUCAUCGGCUUCCUCUUCAUGCUGAGGGCUUUGGUGGCAGCCAACUUCAACACCAUCUACAUCUACACCGCGGAGGUCUACCCCACGACGAUGCGCGCUUUGGGGAUGGGGACCAGCGGCUCCCUGUGUCGCAUUGGUGCAAUGGUGGCGCCAUUUAUAUCCCAGGUUCUUAUGAGUGCGUCGUUCCUGGGGGCCCUGUGUCUCUUCUCAUCUGUCUGUAUUGUGUGUGCCAUUUCUGCUUUUACUCUGCCCAUUGAGACCAAAGGACGGGCCUUACAAUUGUGGAUUCAACCAACCAUGGAUUACAGUUGCAAAAAAAAACCCACAUAAAAGUGGACCUGCACGUUCAAACCUAUGCUGUUCAAGGAUUAACUGUAGUUUGGUUCAUCUGAGCUGCCACAUCUUAAUGAGGCUGUGAAGUCAACAUGCUUCAGUUGCAAAUUAAAUGAAGACCUGCAAACCUACAUCUACCAGAGAAGAAAAAUGCAUUUUUAUCUUCACAGAGAGCUGAAGAACAUUUUUUUAAAACCUGAUUUAAUUUCUGUAUGCUAUUCGUUAAUUAAGAAAUUAUUUUGACACAUCAGACAUGAGAAAAGAAUAAGUUAGUUAGAAGAGAUCGAUACUUUUAUAAAAUAAUUAAGGUUGGAAGGGUGUA